GAUCAUGGCUCAGGAUGAACGCUAGCGGCAGGCUUAACACAUGCAAGUCGAGGGGCAGCAUAAUGGAUAGCAAUAUCUAUGGUGGCGACCGGCGCACGGGUGCGUAACGCGUAUGCAACCUACCGUUUAACAGGGGGAUAACACUGAGAAAUUGGUACUAAUACCCCAUAAUAUCAUAGAAGGCAUCUUUUAUGGUUGAAAAUUCCGAUGGUUAGAGAUGGGCAUGCGUUGGUA
rnacentral:rRNA from 1 species